rnacentral:rRNA from 1 species
GAUGAACGCUGGCGGCGUGCCUAAUACAUGCAAGUCGAGCGAAUGGAUUAAGAGCUUGCUCUUAUGAAGUUAGCGGCGGACGGGUGAGUAACACGUGGGUAACCUGCCCAUAAGACUGGGAUAACUCCGGGAAACCGGGGCUAAUACCGGAUAACCUUUUGAACCGCAGGGAUCGAAAUUGAAAGGCGGCUUCGGCUGUCACUUAUGGAUGGACCCGGGUCGCAUUAGCUAGUUGGUGAGGUAACGGCUCACCAAGGCAACGAUGCGUAGCCGACCUGAGAGGGUGAUCGGCCACACUGGGACUGAGACACGGCCCAGACUCCUACGGGAGGCAGCAGUAGGGAAUCUUCCGCAAUGGACGAAAGUCUGACGGAGCAACGCCGCGUGAGUGAUGAAGGCUUUCGGGUCGUAAAACUCUGUUGUUAGGGAAGAACAAGUGCUAGUUGGAUAAGCUGGCACCUUGACGGUACCUAACCAGAAAGCCACGGCUAACUACGUGCCAGCCGCCGCGGUAA